rnacentral:rRNA from 1 species
CCUACGGGUGGCAGCAGUGGGGAAUAUUGCACAAUGGGCGAAACCCUGAUGCAGCGACGCCGCGUGAGUGAAGAAGUAUCUCUGUCUGUACAGCUCUUUCAGCAGGGAAGAAAAUGACGGUACCUGAUUACGAAGCCCCGGCUAACUCCGUGCCAGCAGCCGCGGCAAUACGCAGGGGGCACGCGUUAUCCGGAUUUACUGGGUGUUAAGGGGGCGUAUUCGGCAUCACAAGUCUGGAGGGAAAUGCCCGGGCUUAACCCCGGAACUGCUGUGGAAACUGUGGAGCUAGAGUGCAGGAGAGGUAAGUGGAAUUCAUAGUGUAGCGGUGAAAGGCGUAGAUAUUAGGAGGAACACCAGUGGCGAAGGCGGCUUACUGGACUGUAACUGACGUUGAGGCUCGAAAGCGUGGGGAGCAAACAGGAUUAGAUACCCCAGUAGUC